GAGCUCAGUCCAGGCUGGAUCACGGAAGAGGAAAGAAGACCUGAGGGGAAGGCAGAGUGGCCAAAGACUGGCUGGGGUAAGUCAGGUGAAUCACUUGGCUUAGGCUGAAGAGCCAAGAGGAACAACUCAUCAUUUACAGCACCAAGAGGCAGUGGCGGAAGAAGAGGGGUGGGGGGGGCUAACCACCCCGGGUGUCAUCCCUGAGGGACACUCACCGUGGGCCCGGCUAGCCCCGCCCCUGGGUGCACAGCAUGUGCACUGCUCCGGGUGCCAGAGCAGCUAGCUCCACCUCUGCCAAGAGGGCAGAGGUGAAUGACACUUUUGGCUGCUGGACUCUGGUGUCUGGAAGGAAAGCAAGAGUAUAGAUUCCACUACAAUGGACGUUUGGGUUGCGAAUGUGAUCCGUGUGGGAUGCACAUUCGCAACCCGCAGCAUUCACAACCUGUGUCUGCACGUCUGCGCACGCGCGACCGCCGAAACCUGGAAGUAACCCAUUCCAGUACUUCUGGGUUUUGGCGGUCUGUAACCCAAAAAAGACCCUGAUGUUGGGAAAGAUGGAGGGCACAGGGAGAAGGGGAGGACAGAGGACAAGAUGGUUGGACAGUGUUCUCAAAGCUACCAGCAUGAGUUUGACCAAACUGCGGGAGGCGGUGGAAGACAGGAGUGCCUGGCGUGCUCUGGUCCAUGGGGUCACGAAGAGUCGAACACGACUAAACAACAACAAAAAACCCAAAAAAACACAACCUGAAGCGUCUGUAACCCGAGGUAUGACUGUACAGUAAAAGAAGACGUGCUUCUCAGUACGUCAGUAGGGGUUAAAACAAAGGCUGCAGUAAAAGUCCUCAGUUAUAGUGUUGGUGAGGCACAACCAGGGUGAAGUAAAUACAAGGGCAAUCUGGCAAAAGUGUUUUAAUGGGGUAACUAACCGCUUUCUCAAAGCUGUAAUAGUAGUACAAAGUAAGCUUUUGGAAUCGAAGUAACACUAACAAAUUAAUACAGUAUAUAACCAUCUAAAAAGACAGUACUACUGUAUAUUAAAGCUACCGCAUAAGCUGGUGCACUAGAGAAGCUUGCAAUACAUAGAUGUUAAUACCUUUGUUAAAUAUAGUAACUACGGACCACGCCUAUAUCGCAGAGUUACCAUUAGGAUUAUUGGUGUGUUAAAAGUGCAAAGGGUAUAAGUGAUAUUAAAUGUUGGCAGUGGUAAGGUUUUAGGAAAACCACUAAGUGGAAGUUGGGUUUUGUUAAUAAAAUAAGUAAGGAAAUAGGCCCCCUAACCUCACCACAGCUAUUAUAUUAGUCUGAGGGAGGGGGCUCCCAAUGAAAAUUUGGAGAGGGGAGUCACAUGCACAGCAGCUCAUGGCUAUUAAAUAAACAAAAUCUGACAUUCUCACAAAUUAGUAUCACAUGUAGUUUGUGUCUGACUGGCAAUGAGCCAAAAGACCAUGCCUUGUUGAAUUUAAGCGUAUAAGAAGAGCCUACUGGAUCAGGCCAAUGGCCCAUCUAGUCUGGCAUCCUGUUCACAAAGUGGUCAGCCAGAUGCCCGUGGGAAAUCCAAAAGCAGGAUUUGAGCAUAAUAGCACUUUCACUUCCUGUGAUUUCCAGCAACUAGUAUUCAGAAGUAUAGUUGCCUCCAACUGUGGAGGCAGAGCAUAGCCAUCAAUGGCAUUUCAGAUCUAAAAGUUGUAAGUUUGGAGCAGAGGAUAUUGUUAGGAAUCCUGUAAGACUGUGGCUUGUUGAGGUGGUGGUGGUGGUGUUGAGGCAGAACAGUGGGGCAGAUUUGUUCAAUGAGACCCCACAUGGCUGUAUCAGCUUCCCAAAGUCUUCAGUGAUGGUAAUAAAUAAUAAUAGUAAUAGUAGUAGUAGUAGUAACAACAAUAACAACAACAACCAAGAGCAGACAAAGCAGGAGACUACAAGCCAGCCUUUCUUAAAACCUCAAUUUUAAAAUAGCACUGAAUGGGCAGCUACUCACAGGGAGGACGUAUCAACUUGAAGGUUGAACUCGAACGUGCACUAGUUGAAGGCCUGUGGGGGCAAUACAUUAAUCAUUCUUCUCUUCAUGGACAGUACAGGAAUCAUGCUUGAGAGACAUAUCAAUCUGCUCCCCAAAAUAGCACAAUAAAAUCUCCCCUUCCAGGUUUUGGAUGAAACAUCAGAAGCUGUUUUCUACAGAGCCAGGCCAUUGGUCCAUCUUACUCUGUAGAGAGCAGCCUGCACCAUGGAUGGGGAACCCAAGGCUCUCCAGCUACUGUUGGGACUCCCAACGUCCACCAGCUUCAAGCCCACCCUCCCAAUAGCCAGGGGCUAUUAUAGUCUAGCAACAUCUAGAAGGCCACAGGGUUCCUUAUCCCUGGUCUAUACUGACAGACAUGGGCUGUACAAGGUUUCACAUCAGAGUCUUUCUCAGCCCUACUAGGAGAUGCCAGGGACUGAACCUGGGACCUUCUGCAUGCAAAAGCACUGCAUGCUAACACCACAAACAAUUUCUCUUUCCUCCACUGUAUCUAAAAGUGGCCUUCAUGCAGUAUCCAUGUGCUUUGCGACUUUGGGAAUUGUAUAAUAGAGUUGGGGUGAGGGGAGUAGACAGAAGGCAGGACAUCUGUACCUUCCUAGUGGUGCAAAAGAGAAGAAAUGUUAAGAAAUGCACCUUUUCCUUCUGGGGUAGAAGCUGCCCGUUGCAUCUGGCCACCUUAGAACAUGCAUCCAUUUUCCAAACCUCCCCAACCUCUGGUUUUGCACCCCCCCCCCAAUUUUACCCUCAAAUUAAAACCCGGUCAGUCACGAACUUACUUGUACUGGUAAUCAUCAACAGAUUGUGCUGUUGUGAGAGAGGGAAAGAGACACCAAUGUAAUUAAGAAGUUCACCGGGGUGAGAGCAAUGAAUGGAGAAGUCAGGAACUGUUUGCUCCUCGGGGAAAGGAAGUUUGGGGAGGGCGGAAGAGACUUAACUGUCUAAUUCAGGGUCCCGGCAGUCAAUGCAAAGCACAAGUAGAAUCACCAGAAGUGGGACAGUAAAUGCCAGCACCCAGAAGAUGUCACCCGUGUGCGAGGCAUCCAUGCCACCUGCAAGGGGGACAGUAGCAGUAUCCUGGAGUCAGGGCAGGUGCAAACUCCGAGGUGAAAAACAGCAUUGAGCAGCUUAGCGGCACAACAUGUCAAUAGCCCUGUGGGGAAAGAGCCAAAUUCAAGUUCUCGGUGUGUGUUAAACAGAUAAUGAAACCAAAUAUAACUGUUUGUCCCGGUCCCUAUCCACCCAGAAAAUUCAGCUUAUUGAAAUGUCUUAUUCAGAAUUUAUUUCGAGUUUUGACAGCGUUUGGGUGGAUUUUCACACUAUGUAGCAGCAGCAUGUCACAAAAGAUAGCGGAGUGGGGGGAGACCAGCUUGGGCUUGCUUACAUUGUGAAGUGGUCGCCCCUUCGCUAGGCCUGAUGAAUGCUGGAAUAUUAGGAGACAGGGCAGCAGAGAGGCAUUUGUUCUCUCUUCCUGAAUGGGAACUUGAACAUUCAGUAUCCAACAGGUAGAGGAAGGAGUGUCUUGGUUGCUGUUCUUCAGGCCAAAGCCUUAGCAAGUGUGGACAUCUCAACUGGUAGACCGUGGAAUGAUUGGCAAUAGAUUGGCAAGUGUUUUUCACUCCCGGCAACAGUUUAACAAAAAGAUUCCCCGCUCCAAAUUUAGGUUAGAAUUCCAGUUUUACAGCCACCUGCUAAUUUUUAUUUAUAUAUGCAAGGUCGUUCCACUGUAUGGCUCAUGGGGUUCAAGAAAUAAUUGGCUCCACCCCACUGGCCACCCAUUUUGUGUCUGACUCUGACCCAAGCUACUGUUUUAUGUUCACCUCUGGCCAGUGAACUGUGGGAUUCUAGCAAAAAUCUGAAGUAGAUUCUAAAAAACACAAAGUUUGCCAGGCCUGCACUACAAGAAUGCUCUUCAAAUUUCCUAUCAGGGAAUCCUUUUUACAGCCUUCUACCUGCCUGCCAAUAAUUCUUGCCCAUCUGCCAAUGAAGCGCUGGCAAAUCACAAAGGAAAACGAAAGGCUUUUUUUCUGCCUCAGUCAAAUUUAAAAGCCAUCCCUCAUUUUUUAUUAUUUGAGUAGCACAUCAUGUUGUCUCAGUGAAUGCUUUGCAAAUGUAUAUAAUUUUCAUUAUGGCAUUUCAGUAAGCAACUCAUUGAUAGUCUUGUGCACUGUGUUUUUCUGCUCUAGCUAGACUAACUAGUUAUCCCAAACUCCUAGGGUAUAAACAGAUAUAAGAAUCCCAAUUUUGCCAGUGGCUGGCAUCCGUCUGUGGAAGCAAAGAAAAAAAGAGGGGGAGAAAACUCCCAAAAUUGUAGCAAAAAGUUAUCUCCACGAUACUUAUAUAGCUUAGGCAGGUACCCCAGCAGGCCUGCGCAUAGCUUGUCUGAGGCCAAGACGAGAGUCCCUGGUUGGCUGAGAGGCCCAGGGCAUUUUUUGCACGGCAGCUUAAGUCUUUCAGGGGGCCCCCAGCUGGCUUAGCCCUCCGAGACCUUGGCUGCCCCCUUCCUCUGCACCAGCCUGCGUUCUGGGGGAUUUGGGUCCCAAAAAGUUGCUGUUUGAGUCUGCGGAUAGGCUGGCUCUAGGGAAACAUUGUAGGCCAACUACUCUGUUCGCUCAGGAUGGAACAACAUGGCCUAUAGGGCCUCACCAUUGCCCUGUGUACACAGAGAUACUGAGCCUUACGCAACAUUGUUCCCUUAUGAAUUUGCAGCUGGAAGGCAAUCAAUAGCGCAGAGAGAGCUCUCUUUCAAAUGCAUGUGCUAAUCCCACCAUUACUGAUAGACCACAGAGAUCCCCACAGCUCAGCCAGGGAGGCGUUAACAGGAGGGAGCACAGCAGAGCGAGCAGUGGUCUUGUGGAAAUAACCCAAUUGACACACCGCUUAACUGCAUGUAGCAGCAGGAUGCACAAGAAAUCUCCAAGAGGCUGGGCCGAAAGAAAAUGGUUGGGGUGGGUGGUUCAAGAAGGCUUUAGAAAGGAGGGACCACCCCCAAAUUCAAUACAAGCUUGGAGAUACAAAUGGCGUUCUAGGCUAUGAUCCACAGUACCUUUCAGCAGGAUGCUAAUUCACAAAGCCAAGGCAGGUAUACACAUUCUGGAUUUGAGCAAGAGACAACAGACAACAGCAUCAUGGUUUGCCACAAAAGUGACCAUGAUGGGGAAUAGAGAGGGAAGUUAGCUAACAGAAUUGCUUUCAGAGGUGUCUGUUAGGAGACAUUUUCACUAAAGUGCUGAUCAAUUUUCUUGAGGAUUUUUUAAAAAAUUGCAAACUAAUGCAGAGAACUGAACAUAAGACUGUAAAAAUGAGAAAGAGAGAGAAACCCAAAUUGAUAACCCAACUGCCUGAAAGGAGCAGUAUGUUUGUGUGUGGAGAACUCACUCAUUUCCCUAAAUACACAUAGUUUUGCAAUGCAGAUUCCCCUAACACAAUGCAUUUUCCCUUGUACAUGCCUUUUAAAUGCACACAUUACCCCAGUAUACGCAUUUUGUUAUGCACUGCUUGGUUAGAGAAUUGCAUUGCAAAAUUCCUAAGAGUGCGAAUUUCAAAAGAUGGCUUUGUUUGAGUUCAUGUACAGCUUCAGAAAGUGUGGAUUAGGUAUGUUCACUUAAUGCCAACAGACAAAUGCCAACUGAACUGGAUUUCUCCCUCACCCCUAGUCUGAAGGCACCUUUGGCAGCCACUGUGCUGAAGCCAAACUGGCCUGGGUCUGGAUGGGAGAUUGGCUAGAACCCUCCCCACACCUCCUUGAGCUCCAGGGAAGAGAGACAGAUGUAAACAAAAUAAUUUAAAAAUGGACAUAGGUUUUGUCAAGGUAAGGUAAAGGUAAAGGGAUCCCUGAUCAUUAGGUCCAGUCGUGACCGACUCUGGGAUUGCGGCGCUCGUCUCACUUUAUUGACCAAGGAGCCGGCGUACAGCUUACAUGUGGCCAGCAUGACUAAGCCGCUUCUGGUGAACCAGAGCAGCGCACGGAAACGCCGUUUACCUUCCCGCCAGAGUGGUACCUAUUUAUCUACUUGCACUUUGACGUGCUUUCAAACUGCUAGGUUGGCAGGAGCAGGGACCGAGCAACGGGAGCUCACCCUGUUGCGGGGAUUCGAACCGCCGACCUUCUGAUCGGCAAGCCCUAGGCUCUGUGGUUUAACCCACAGCGCCACCCGCAUCCCUUUUUUUGUCAAGGUACUCCAACUAAAAAAGAUUGCUGUGGACUAGAAACGUACAUGGAUUAAAUUGCUGGGUUAGGAGGUAUAGUGGAGACAUCUCCAUCGUGAAUGAAAGAACAUCAUAGAGCUAGCUACUUGGAGCUGACACUUCUAUACUUGGGUGUUGGCAUGUCCUGAGGCACCAGAAGUGUCUUUUGCCAGCUGUGUAUGGUACAAAAUGCGCUUUGAUCAUUCCUGGUCUGGGAGAAUUUACAGUAAUUCAGGCACUGGUGACUUCAAGAUUGGAUUACUGCAAUGCACUUUAUGUGGGGUUUCCCUUGAACUGAACCCGCCAACUUCAGUUAGUGCAGUACAGUUGCUGGCAGGAAUGAGACCCUCGCUGCAUAUAGUACUUUUGCUCAGAGACCUGCACUGAAUCCUCACUGGCUACCAGGCCAAGUAUUACUAUUCAUAUAUAAAGCCCUUCAGCAUUUGGGAGCAGGUUACAUGCAGGAUUGCCUUUCUUCAUACCUCUUCUUUGCACCUGCUUAAAACGUUUUUGUUUUGGCAAGCCUAUCCAGACAGAUAGAAGUUGCCAUGUUUUAAUCCCUUUUACAGUUAAUAUUGUUUAAUGUUUUCAGUUUUUUUACUACUAUUGAGGAAGGGCAGUACAGUCGUACCUUGGCUGCCGAACACCUUGGGAGUCAAACGUUCCGGCUCCCGAACGAUCAAAAACCGGAAAUGAGUGUUCUGGUUUGCGAACGUUCUUUGGAACCUGAACGUCCGACGGGGCUUCCGAUUGGCUGCAGGAGCUUCCUAAAGCCAAUCGGAAGACGUGCUUUGGUUUUUGAACGUUUCAGAAGUCAAACGGACUUCCGGAAUGGAUUCUGUUCAACUUCUAAGGUAUGACUAUAUCUCAGUGGUGGAGAAUCUGCUUUGCAUGCAGAACAUUCCAAAUUUAAUCCCAGGCUUCUCCAGGUAGGGCUGGGAAACCCUGGGGAGCUGCUGCCAGUCAGUGUUGACAGUAAUGAGCAAGAUGGACCAACAGUCUGAUUCAGUCUAAAGCAGCUGCCUCUGCUGCUCCUAAUUGGGGUAUAAAUGUUGUUAAUAAAAACCUCCACACACAACCAUCCAAAUGUUUUACCAGAUACUACAUUCCAUGCCACAUUUCCUACACAGAGAAAACCUGUUCCAGAAGCCUGAGGUUGUAAGUGAAGGUUCUUUGAUGCGCCCCUCCCCCAGCAUAGAAGAAGAAAAAAAGAGUGUGGGAACAGCAGUGGGAGCAGGGGUGACUCACGCCAGUGACAACAACCCACAGCCGGAUUUGGGCGCCAGUGCAAAAGCCUCGCUCUGUGUUGUGGGUGCCGUGGGAGGGAAUUUGCAGCUGCAACUCUGCAGCUGCAAGGUUGCAAUGUCUUGCUUGGGGGGAGGGGGGAGAACAGAAGUUAGCCAAGACCUUCUAGGCGCCACUCAUGAUUCAGUAGGUGGGAGGGGGCAGGGAAAGGGAUGGGGCCUAUGAGAAACCUACCGUUUGACACCUCUGAAUAAUGCCAAACUCUCUCCUUACACACACACACACACACACACACACACACACACACACACACAGUGUCUCCCCACUUCUUCGCCACUUGAUUGGAGCGCUGGCAACAAGCCAAAGUGACCACAAACCACGGGUUCCGUUACUGGGUAGAAACUGGCUUGUUGGAGGGAACUGGAGCAAAAUGGCAAAACGAAGGGGUGGGAAAGUUGGUUGGGGGGCGGAGGGUGCCAGGCCAAAAUUCAAGGGAGGUUAUUAUGUGGAUGUGUCUGUUCUAUUUCUUUUGCCCUCUUCUACAUAGCGUUACUCGUUUAUUAUGCCCCACACCCUUCAAAGCGAACCCACUGUCAGAGAUGGAUAAAUAGGAGCGAGGGAAGGAGAGCGUGAAUGCAGUAGCAAGACAGAAAAAAGAUUGCGAUCAGAACAGGGGUGGGGGAGGCACAGAGCAGGAAAAGAAGCACUCUGUGCAACGAAGAAAAACAAUUUAUUGCUUCCCGUUGUUAAUCUGGGUUUGAAUUUGCAUUCCUACGUACCCUGGUGGGGCAAUGGGCACAGCCUAGCCAGCAACAAGGGCCACAGACCCAAAAUUAUAGCCAAAAUGAACUAAACGGUUUAUUAAUGCAUGACUACACAGCUUUAGUGUAGGUCCAAAUGACUUCCAACACAUCAUUUUCAAUUAUUUCUAUAUUUUGCAGUGUCAAAACUGAAUUCUUUCAAACUUGAGUCAGUGGUCCUGGUCACUGGUUACACUACACUCACUGGGACGCUCAGGAGGAAAAAAGUCAGACUCC